AGAAACUUAGGUUAAUAUCUAAACCAAGAGCCUUCAAAGCCCUAAACAGAGGAUAAACCUCUAGUCUCUG
rnacentral:tRNA from 1 species